UAAAAAAUUCAGAAAAGUGUA
rnacentral:piRNA from 1 species